rnacentral:rRNA from 1 species
AAGAGUGGUUCAGACCUUGCUGGCGGCGUGCCUAAUACAUGCAAGUCGAGCGGACAGAUGGGAGCUUGCUCCCUGAAGUCAGCGGCGGACGGGUGAGUAACACGUGGGCAACCUGCCUGUAAGACUGGGAUAACUCCGGGAAACCGGGGCUAAUACCGGAUAAUUCUUUCCCUCACAUGAGGGAAAGCUGAAAGAUGGUUUCGGCUAUCACUUACAGAUGGGCCCGCGGCGCAUUAGCUAGUUGGUGAGGUAACGGCUCACCAAGGCAACGAUGCGUAGCCGACCUGAGAGGGUGAUCGGCCACACUGGGACUGAGACACGGCCCAGACUCCUACGGGAGGCAGCAGUAGGGAAUCUUCCGCAAUGGACGAAAGUCUGACGGAGCAACGCCGCGUGAGUGAUGAAGGUUUUCGGAUCGUAAAACUCUGUUGUUAGGGAAGAACAAGUACCGGAGUAACUGCCGGUACCUUGACGGUACCUAACCAGAAAGCCACGGCUAACUACGUGCCAGCAGCCGCGGUAAUACGUAGGUGGCAAGCGUUGUCCGGAAUUAUUGGGCGUAAAGCGCGCGCAGGCGGUUCCUUAAGUCUGAUGUGAAAGCCCCCGGCUCAACCGGGGAGGGUCAUUGGAAACUGGGGAACUUGAGUGCAGAAAAAAAGAGUGGAAUUCCACGUGU